rnacentral:rRNA from 1 species
UCGAGCGGUAGAGAGAAGCUUGCUUUUCUUGAGUAGCGGCGGACGGGUGAGUAAUGCCUAGGAAUCUGCCUGGUAGUGGGGGAUAACGUUCGGAAACGAACGCUAAUACCGCAUACGUCCUACGGGAGAAAGCAGGGGACCUUCGGGCCUUGCGCUAUCAGAUGAGCCUAGGUCGGAUUAGCUAGUUGGUGAGGUAAUGGCUCACCAAGGCGACGAUCCGUAACUGGUCUGAGAGGAUGAUCAGUCACACUGGAACUGAGACACGGUCCAGACUCCUACGGGAGGCAGCAGUGGGGAAUAUUGGACAAUGGGCGAAAGCCUGAUCCAGCCAUGCCGCGUGUGUGAAGAAGGUCUUCGGAUUGUAAAGCACUUAAAGUUGGGAGGAAGGGCAUUAACCUAAUACGUUAGUGUUUUGACGUUACCGACAGAAUAAGCACCGGCUAACUCUGUGCCAGCAGCCGCGGUAAUACAGAGGGUGCAAGCGUUAAUCGGAAUUACUGGGCGUAAAGCGCGCGUAGGUGGUUUGUUAAGUUGGAUGUGAAAUCCCCGGGCUCAACCUGGGAACUGCAUUCAAAACUGACUGACUAGAGUAUGGUAGAGGGUGGUGGAAUUUCCUGUGUAGCGGUGAAAUGCGUAGAUAUAGGAAGGAACACCAGUGGCGAAGGCGACCACCUGGACUAAUACUGACACUGAGGUGCGAAAGCGUGGGGAGCAAAC